rnacentral:rRNA from 1 species
AACGUAGGACGCAAGCGUUAUCCGGAGUUACUGGGCGUAAAGCGCGGGCAGGCGGUUCUGCCAGUCUGAUGUGAAAUCUCCUCGCUCAACGGGGAGCAGCCAUUGGAAACUACAGAACUGGAGUCUGGCAGAGGUAGGCGGAAUUCCGGGUGGAGUGGUGAAAUUCGUAGAUAUCGGGAGGAACACCUGUGGCGAAAGCGGCGCACUGGACCACAACUGACGCUGAGGCGCGAAAGCUAGGGGAGCAAACAGG